rnacentral:rRNA from 1 species
CAUGCAGUCGAGCGGUAGCACAGAGAGCUUGCUCUCGGGUGACGAGCGGCGGACGGGUGAGUAAUGUCUGGGAAACUGCCUGAUGGAGGGGGAUAACUACUGGAAACGGUAGCUAAUACCGCAUAACGUCGCAAGACCAAAGUGGGGGACCUUCGGGCCUCAUGCCAUCAGAUGUGCCCAGAUGGGAUUAGCUAGUAGGUGGGGUAACGGCUCACCUAGGCGACGAUCCCUAGCUGGUCUGAGAGGAUGACCAGCCACACUGGAACUGAGACACGGUCCAGACUCCUACGGGAGGCAGCAGUGGGGAAUAUUGCACAAUGGGCGCAAGCCUGAUGCAGCCAUGCCGCGUGUGUGAAGAAGGCCUUCGGGUUGUAAAGCACUUUCAGCGGGGAGGAAGGCGAUAAGGUUAAUAACCUUGUCGAUUGACGUUACCCGCAGAAGAAGCACCGGCUAACUCCGUGCCAGCAGCCGCGGUAAUACGGAGGGUGCAAGCGUUAAUCGGAAUUACUGGGCGUAAAGCGCACGCAGGCGGUCUGUCAAGUCGGAUGUGAAAUCCCCGGGCUCAACCUGGGAACUGCAUUCGAAACUGGCAGGCUAGAGUCUUGUAGAGGGGGGUAGAAUUCCAGGUGUAGCGGUGAAAUGCGUAGAGAUCUGGAGGAAUACCGGUGGCGAAGGCGGCCCCCUGGACAAAGACUGACGCUCAGGUGCGAAAGCGUGGGGAGCAAACAGGAUUAGAUACCCUGGUAGUCCACGCCGUAAACGAUGUCGAUUUGGAGGUUGUGCCCUUGAGGCGUGGCUUCCGGAGCUAACGCGUUAAAUCGACCGCCUGGGGAGUACGGCCGCAAGGUUAAAACUCAAAUGAAUUGACGGGGGCCCGCACAAGCGGUGGAGCAUGUGGUUUAAUUCGAUGCAACGCGAAGAACCUUACCUGGUCUUGACAUCCACAGAACUUAGCAGAGAUGCUUUGGUGCCUUCGGGAACUGUGAGACAGGUGCUGCAUGGCUGUCGUCAGCUCGUGUUGUGAAAUGUUGGUUUAAGUCCCGCAACGAGCGCAACUCAUAUCGUUGGUGGCAAGCCGCUCAGCCGGCAACUCCAAGGAGACUGCAAGUGAUAAAC